GUAAAUAGUACAUAUAUUUUGGGUGAACUGUGCUUUUAAAUCAGGAAAGAUGUUCUGAAUUGGCACAAAUCUGUGUGAAAAAAGUGCGUUUCUCUUUAAAAAAAGACCAAAUACACCAGAUUUAACAUAAUUUUGCUUGUUUUUAGGUGGAAAACUUGAUUAAUCUUUCUGAUAUCAAGACGCUUGAUGUUUUUAUUUUAAUGUCUUGAUGAGAUAAUCU
rnacentral:misc_RNA from 1 species